rnacentral:misc_RNA from 1 species
CGGACACCUUUUUUUGUUAUCUAAAGGCGAAGACUCUGAAGUGGGCGAACACUCGGCCCAGCGGGCGAACAUGGCGGGCUCCGGCUCCGCGCACCUGCUGACACCUUUCGAAGCACUUUCGAGUGUGCGCUUUCGUUUUCGAAUGUGUCGUUCAGCCUCACGAGUCUACAAGCCUUUCUCAUUCCAGUGCUCGCCUUUUAGUAGGGGCCUUUAGUCUUUUGAUUAGAGUAGGGGUCCCGAGAGAGCGGAG